rnacentral:rRNA from 1 species
AUUGAACGCUGGCGGCAGGCUUAACACAUGCAAGUCGAGCGAGCGGCGGACGGGUGAGUAAUGUCUGGGAAACUGCCUGAUGGAGGGGGAUAACAAACGGAAACGGUAGCUACUACCGCAUACCAUCAGAUGUGCCCAGAUGGGAUUAGCUAGUGGGUGGGGUAAUGGCGCACCUAGGCGACGAUCCCUAGCGGGUCUGAGAGGAUGACCAGCCACACUGGAACUGAGACACGGUCCAGACUCCUACGGGAGGCAGCAGUGGGGAAUAUUGCACAAUUGGCUCAAGCCUGAUGCAGCCAUGCCGCGUGUGUGAAGAAGGCCUUCGGAUUGUAAAGCACUUUCAGCGAGGAGGCGUUACUCGCAGAAGAAGCACCGGCUAACUCCGUGCCAGCCGCCGCGGUAAUUC